rnacentral:rRNA from 1 species
CGCCUGUUUAUCAAAAACAUGCCCUUUUGAUUUAUGUGUAAUAUAAAAGGUUGGACCUGCCCAGUGGUUUAUCUAAAUGGCUGCAGUGAAUAACUGUACAAAGGUAGCGAAAUCAGUUGUCCUUUAAAUGGGGGAAGGUAUGAAAGGUUUGACGGUAAAGAAGCUGUCUCUUAAAAAUAGUGUGAAGUUUCCGUCUAAGUGAAAAGGCUUAGAUUUUUUAAAAAGACGAGAAGACCCUAUUGAGCUUAAUUAUAUUUUUUUUAUUAAGAAAGUUGAAGUUUUAUUGGGGCAAUAGGAAGCUAUAAGUAAUGCUUCUUUUUAAGGUAAGGAUCCUCCAUGGGAGAAGUAAGCAAAAGUUACCAUAGGGAUAACAGCGUUAUCUUUCUUAAGAGUUCUAAUUGAGGGAAAGGUUUGCGACCUCGAUGUUGGAUUAAGAUGUCUUUUUGGUGCAGCAGCUAAAAAAGUAAGACUGUUCGUCUUUUAAAAUUUUACGUGAUCUGAGUUCAGACCG